UCGUCCCCAGAAGUAUUUUAGGGAACAUUUAUGAGACCUUGGGAGAAUUGUACAGGCAACAAACAGAAAAUGUUGCCUGAUCUUUUUUUAGGCAUCAAUUUACACUUGUUGCAUAAAAAAGUGUUGCCAGAAGCAAUAAAUGUUGUAGUGAAUUCACCAUUCGAUUUUCUGUUGAUGCUGAUCAUCGAGAGAGCGGUGCAGACAUUACUCUUUCUUGUCUGCCAAUGGAUGACAGACAGACAAUAAAGGAAGGAUCCUUUCAUUCAGUGAAAAGCCUAAAGGAGCAGAUCUCAAAGCAAUGGUAAGACUCGUGUUUAUCAUUACUUCCAACUAAACAUACUACAAGUUUCGAAAACUAGAUUCACAGCUAAUACGACUUCAUAAUUUAGCAAGUGGAUACAAAUGUUCUUGGUCUUUCAAAGGACGAGGCUCUAG